rnacentral:lncRNA from 13 species
GGUAGGACGGCGGAAUGUCGCGACGCAUUUCAACUCGCAGCUUCGUCGUCUCCUAUGGUCUCCUAUGGUCUCCUACAAGUUUUUGACGCGAGCGAGUGUUUCGAGAGUGCCGAAAGUGAAAUGGGAUUAUCGGGCUUUCGUCGUCAGCCGUCUGACCCGUCGCCGCGUCGUGUCGGAUUUGAACCGUAGUGAAGUGAAAUCAUGUUUUGCAUCUUCUUCAUUGCCUCAUAUCCCGAUCGUUUCUGAUCAUUUUUGACGCGCGUGAAUAUCAGGAGUGUGAAAAACGAAGGAUCGCGCGUUCGUGCCAAGUGUGAAUCGAAACGAAUUUUAUAUACCAUGGAAUCGACGUACGACCGGAAUCCGAUUGGAGUCUCCAACUUGUUCGGACGUGUUUGCCAGUUGCUAAUAGUGUUUUUAACUGCAGUGGGUUUCUCGCCAUUUGCCGGAAUCGUCCAAUUAGAACGGACGAUCGUCCGUGCGGUGCAGUGCGGCGAAUGAUCUCAGGUGAUGUGACAAACGAUUUUUACUCUGCGAUACUGUGCGAGAUCCACUAACAUCGUACUUCGAACUCUCGUAACACUUAGUAAACUUGCAUAUGCCAUGUGUAUGUACCAAAUAAUUAUUGGUGGUUGAUAAUCAGGAUUAGUAACCAUUUAGUUAUUUUCGGAACCUAACAGAUUCGAAAUGUUCCCUCCUGCAACGUGAUCUUUGACAUUUAAUCACAUUUAAUGGGCUGCGUAACUUUCGGAAAUUGAUUCCGUUAGUCUCGGAAGAAGCAAAGUACAUUCAUCUCACUUUCCACCAUGAAGAUAAUCAUUCUCCGUAAUCAGAUAUUAAUCGACGUACUAUUUGACGGAGGGAUUUUUAUCUGUUCAAAUCAAUAACUCUGAGUUAUUCUUUCCUGAACGCGUUGAAAAUAUAUUUCUCGCAAUUUUUUCGCGGAUAAAAUCGCGGAUGAAACGUUGCAUUCGUUGCAUUUUAAUUCAUUUCAAUGUCGAAAGUGCCGUAAAAAAUAUCGUGUGAUUGCCCGCGUUUCGCGAAUGUUGUGCAAGAAAGUGUGCAGUGAAGUUGUGCUACGACACUACUACCCCGGACUACCCGAGACUUCCGAGGAGGAGGAGGCCUAGGAAUGGCAUCAGGCGUCGGCGGAGCAACAUGCGAAUCAUUGUAAUGGCGUUGCAGAAUAACUCCGCUGUUGCGCAUUGGAUGGUGAGUGAUGAAUAAACUUUUGUGAUUAUAGUUAUGGAAUAGAUCUAUGAUACAAUUACUUUAAACAUAAUGUAAAGAUGUUUAUACUGAUACUAAAUUAAUGAUGAGCAAAUGUGAUAACAUACUUACUGAAAGCUACUGCAAAUAUGAUAACAUACUUACCGAGAAGUAUAUUACAAGCAGUAGCAGUAUCAUCUCUACUGUACUUGGCAUAAUGAGUCAUGUGUCAAGUUUAAUGACCUUUGAAAUAAUCAAGAUCACUAAUAAUUGACACUCUCCUUAUCAUACCAUAAAAUUUCUAAUAGAAUGCAUAUCUCAUGACUUGUCAAUAUAGAUGGUAAAUCCUCUAAUGGAGAAAAUAAAUGUUCUCCACUUGAGCUGAUAAUAAAAGUAACUAUAAAGUAAACUAUUACUUAGUGCCUUCUUCUGAAGUAAUCUUUAUUGAACACUAAGAUCUACUUUCAACUGGCAUAGCCAUUCACGUUAUUUAAAUAUUUUGUAAAUUUGUUAAACUAAGCUUAGGAGUUAUCACACUACAAAAAAAA